GGUUCCAUCAUCUAGUGGUCAUGACAUUGGACUUUGAAUCCAAUAGAAAAAUUCCAAAUCUUGGUGGAACCU
rfam:Picea glauca, whole genome shotgun sequence.